UACGUAGGGCCCGAGCAUUAUCCGGUAUUAUUGGGCGUAAAGAGCGCGUAGGUGGUUUGGUGUGACAGUGGUUAAAGACCCGGGCUCAACUCGGGGAGUGCCACUGUUACUACCUGACUAGACGAUAGCAGGGGCAAGCAGAAUUCUCGGUGUAGGAGUGAAAUCCGUUGAGAUCGAGAGGAAUACCAAUGGCGAAGGCAGCUUGCUAGGCUAUCCGUGACACUGAGGCGCGAAAGCGUGGGGAGCGAACGGG
rnacentral:rRNA from 1 species